CGCCUGGGGAGUACGGCCGCAAGGUUAAAACUCAAAUGAAUUGACGGGGGCCCGCACAAGCGGUGGAGCAUGUGGUUUAAUUCGAUGCAACGCGAAGAACCUUACCUGGUCUUGACAUCCACAGAACUUUCCAGAGAUGGAUUGGUGCCUUCGGGAACUGUGAGACAGGUGCUGCAUGGCUGUCGUCAGCUCGUGUUGUGAAAUGUUGGGUUAAGUCCCGCAAC
rnacentral:rRNA from 1 species